rnacentral:rRNA from 1 species
AACGAACGCUGGCGGCAUGCCUAACACAUGCAAGUCGAACGAGACCUUCGGGUCUAGUGGCGCACGGGUGCGUAACGCGUGGGAACCUGCCCUUAGGUUCGGAAUCACUCCCCGAAAGGGGUGCUAAUACCGGAUAAUGUCUUCGGACCAAAGAUUUAUCGCCUUUGGAUGGGCCCGCGUUGGAUUAGCUAGUUGGUAGGGUAAAAGCCUACCAAUGCGACGAUGGAUAGCUGGUCUGAGAGGAUGAUUAGCCACACUGGGACUGAGACACGGCCCAGACUCCUACGGAAGGCAGCAGUGGGUAAUACUGUACAAUGGGCGAAAGCCUGAUCCAGCAAUGCCGCGUGAGUGAUGAAGGCCUUAGUAUUGUAAAGCUCUUUUACCCGGGAUGAUAAUGACAGUACCGGGAGAAUAAGCUCCGGCUAACUCCGUG